rnacentral:lncRNA from 1 species
CUUUGCAGCAGCAGAACAUUUUGUGAACAACAGGAAAUGAACUAGUCGGUGUGCAAUCAGUUUGCAUCAUUAGAUCUCCAAAUCAUAUCAAGAUCUUUUAAAAGGACCUCCAUGAAGAUUUGUUUUCAUUUUGACAGAGCUGUGAAGGUUCACCAUGGGCACUGAGGAGAAGGAACCAGAAGCAGCAGCUCAACCGGUGCUGAAGGAGCUUGGACCUGUGGAGAAAGAGGCCGAAACCCCAGUGGACUCUCCUCAAACGCCGGGGAGCUCUGACUCUCUGGACACGUACAAGUGGCACACCACGUCUAAGGGAACAGCGGAGGGGGAGGCGAAGGAAGCAGGUGCAACGGCCUCCCCAGCUUCGACCCUCGAGAAGCUGCAGAAGGCGUCCACCAACAAAUGGAAGAACUGGAGAAAAGCAAUGAGCGAGGACCCAGGGGACAAGGCGGCAACUGGGAAAGGAGCAGAGGGAUCUAAGGAGGCUUCGAAAUCUCAUGGGAGGAAGAAUCCGUUCUUAAGAGCCCUGUCCGAGCCUCCGGGGAUGCGGUUCUCUGCCCUGGUUCAGUCGGGUGGCUCGGGCCAGGCUGCUCCACCCUCCACUGCGGCUGAUGCUGAGGGCUCUGGGGGGUCUCCCUCCACAGACCCGCCCCAGAAGGGAGCAGCAGGCGGAGGAACGCUGAAGGGUUACCUGCGCGCAAUGUCCCAGAAACUCAAGAGGCCCAGACUGCAGAGCCGGGGGAACAGCAACCCCGCCCUAAUCACAGAUGUGGUGGAGUCGGAGCAGGCCAUCACGGACCUGCCGCGGCCGCACUGGGUCCCCAAUCAGGAGGUGCCUCUGUGGGACAUUGGCAACUGUGUCCUGAACCAUGGACAAAUCCUCAUCGCACAAGAGGAGGAGGUGCGCUACAUUAAGGAACAAACCUACAGUGCAUACUUACACAUGAAAAGUUUUGUUACCAAUUCAUAAAAAACACACAUGUUAAGAAU